rnacentral:misc_RNA from 1 species
GCAGAGAGCCGCCAUGAUUGUUUUGGAUGCGGGUCGCUCGGCGCCUCCUCCUCACAAACUCUCUUCUACACCUCAUAAAAUGUUGCUUAUUUGAAGUAUCGCUGAGUGUUGUAGCCAUUCAUCAUGAGCAUUACAAGUGAUGAGGUUAAUUUCCUGGUAUACAGGUAUCUUCAGGAAUCAGGUUUUUACCAUGCAGCUUAUGUAUUUGGGAUUGAGUCCCACAUAUCACAGUCAAACAUCAAUGGAGCAUUGGUCCCACCUGCAGCCCUACUUAGCAUCAUUCAGAAAGGUCUUCAAUAUACUGAGGCAGAGAUAAGUAUAGGAGAGGAUGGGUCGGAGAGAUUAAUAGACAGUCUGUCGCUAAUUGAUGCCGUGAUGCCAGAUGUUGUGGCUUCCAGGCAGAACACCACAACAAAACCAGUAGUGAAAACAGAAAUCCCCAGCACAAAUGGUGAUGAAGGGACUACUGGUGAAACUAUGGACGUUGAUAUUAGUGUGGAAAUUCCACUAAAUAAGGCAACAAUCUUACGAGGACAUGAAUCUGAAGUAUUUAUCUGCGCUUGGAACCCUACAACAGAUCUUCUGGCAUCAGGAUCGGGUGAUAGCACUGCACGUAUAUGGAACAUGAACGACAACACUACGUCUCCAAACCAAUUAGUUCUCAGGCAUUGUAUCCAGAAGGGCGGCACAGAGGUUCCUAGCAACAAAGACGUCACAUCUCUUGACUGGAAUUGUGAUGGAACACUUCUGGCAACUGGGUCCUAUGAUGGUUAUGCAAGAAUUUGGAUGACAGACGGGCGGCUGGCAUCUACUCUUGGACAACACAAGGGCCCAAUUUUUGCAUUGAAGUGGAAUAAAAAGGGAAACUACAUUCUGAGUGCAGGAGUAGACAAAACUACAAUCAUAUGGGAUGCGUCGUCUGGACACUGCACUCAACAGUUUGCCUUCCAUUCAGCUCCAGCCUUGGAUGUAGAUUGGCAGACAAAUACAUCAUUUGCUAGUUGUUCAACUGAUCAGUGUAUACACGUGUGCCAGCUUGGUCAAGAUAAACCAAUCAAGUCAUUCCAGGGACACACCAAUGAAGUCAAUGCUAUCAAGUGGGACCCACAGGGUAAUCUUCUUGCAUCAUGUUCUGAUGAUAUGACUCUUAAGAUUUGGUCGAUGCGGCAGGAUGCUUGUGUACAUGACCUACAGGCACACAGUAAAGAGAUAUACACAAUUAAAUGGUCACCAACGGGGCCUGGUACAAAUAAUCCAAAUAUGAACCUCAUCCUUGCUAGUGCUUCGUUUGACUCUACUGUACGACUCUGGGACGUAGAGCGUGGUGCCUGCAUACAUACACUUACCAGACACUCUGAACCAGUAUAUUCUGUGGCCUUUUCUCCUGAUGGCAAGUUCCUAGCAUCUGGGAGCUUUGAUAAGUGUGUCCAUAUAUGGUCCACUCAGUCAGGGCAGCUGGUCCACAGCUACAAAGGAACGGGAGGUAUAUUUGAGGUGUGCUGGAAUUCUCGAGGAGACAAAGUGGGAGCUUCAGCAUCAGACGGAAGUGUUUUUGUUUUGGACCUACGCAAGUAGCUGCAAUUAAUGUGCAUAAGCUUGAAAUUCGUUUUUUUAUCGGUUCUUAAGAACAAAUAACUGAAUAUAUGUAAGAAAAAUUUGCUUUUGUAAUAAACAGAAUUGCAAAGAGCAAUUGAUUAAUAUCAUAGAAGACAAAUUAAAUGGUUUUGAUAAUGAAUGAGUACAGAACAGUAUUGUCAUUUAUUAGGUUUUAAUGGUUUACUACAGUUAUGGUUGGGAUGGCUGCAUCUAUAUUUUGUAUCGUGACUGUAAAAAGCAAUUUUAUUUUAUCCCUCUGUGUACUGUCGAUCCUCGGUCUGUUUUGAGUGUUACAUGUCUGGAAUCUACUGCCUAGAGUGAGGUCAUGCACAUUGAACAAAACAUCAUUAGGCUCCUGAAACCUCAAGAGUUUCUUUAUUUUUUCUGUUUUCAGCAACACCUGUUCUUGUGUAUAAUUAAUAUAUUUGUUUGCUUCAAGAAGCUGCUGGAUGUUUUGAAUUAAUGUGAUCUAGAAGUGCAUUAAACACAACAUUUUUUGUAAGGAGUCAUGAGGUAGAAAAACUUGGUUUUUUAGUACGAAGGAUAACUUGAAGGCAAAGCAGGAGGACUUGGUGGAAAAACAGAGCUGUUUGACCUAUCGUGCACUAUGAAACAACUUGGGCGUCCACGACAACAUGCAUACCCCUGGACCAGCUCUUGUGCAUGCCCAGACAGUUUGUGUACAGACGUUUUUGGCAGCGUGCACUCUGAACUUAAUCUUAAAAAACAAAUCCGUGUGUGAUUGAAUGCGUGUGUACAGUACUCUGAACUCUUGCAAAUCAGGGAUCAACGGUACUAUUAAAUUUGAAUUAAAUAUUUUAGUUUGUUUGAAGAUGAUUCUCAGUGAAUUUUAAUGAUGGUGAUUGUUUACUGCACUGACAUGCUGUUAUACAUUUCAGUUUGAGUAUAUAUUCCUAAACUAUCGGUAAUUAUUUGCCAAGUGCUGAUGCAACCUGUCCUCUUACAAAUACUGUCGCUUUUCACGCGUUUGCUAUAAGGCCAAAAAUAGCCGUAAUCCAAAAUGGAAAUUUAUUUUCCACAAGGUUUCACAACAUUAUGAAAACUAUUAAUUUAAACUGUCCUUUCCUAACCUAACAGACUAAGCCAGUGGACCCAAAACAGAAAACGGGA